rnacentral:lncRNA from 1 species
AUCCAGGUGGGCCCAAUGUAAUCACAAGGGUAUUUAAAAGUGAAAGAGGGAAUAGGAAGAGAGAACCAGAAAGAUGGCAGCAUGAGAAGGACUUGGCUUGAUAUUGCUGGCUUGAAGACAGAGAAAGGGGACCACGAACCAAGGAAAGCAAGUGACAUCUAGGGGAUAGAAAACCAAGGAAACAGGUUCUCCCCUGGAACCUGCAGGAAGUCAUGGACUCUGCCAAAACCUUGAUCUUAGCCUGCUGAAGAUCCGUGUCAGACUUUGCAUCUAUGGAACUGUGUGAUUUUACUUUUCCAACCUACUUUGCGUAUGUCUUUUAUUUUAACUGACUUAAAUCCUUCCUGAAAAAAAGAUAACGUUCGGAAAUAAAGGAACAAACAGAAGAGCGCAGCGUGCUGUCCUUAGAUUCAUGUCUGGAAGACCACGUUGUAUAAACGUAAAACAUGUACUGAGGAAAACAGUUUUAAAAUGCUGCUUAAUAAAUCAAGAGUCUUAUUUUAGACCAGUGAGAGAUUUUAAAGUAAGAAAAAUGCCAUCGUGUUGUAUUGUCAAUCAAAGAUGUCUCUGAAAACUUGAGUCAGGCUCUUCUCUGAAAAUGGUGAAGAAAGUGACUUGGUGAAGAGAAGGGGGCCUUCUAAAUGACAUUCUCUGGAGAAGCUGCUCUACCCGGGCAAAACCAUUAUGGGGACUGACAACUGGGACGGAGAUGAAGUAAGAGUUCUGCAAGUCAGAAGUCCAAAUGGGUCUUACGGGGCUAAAAUCAGGGUGUCAGUGGAGCACUGGUCCUUCUAGAGGCUCUAGGACCUUGAGUGCAAUGCCGACUAGAAGCCGUGGUAGUGGAGGUGCUGCUUUGUUCCAGAUCUUGGGGGAAAGCGCUCAGUCUCCACCAUUAAGUGUGAUAUUAGUGGAAGAAUGGUAAAUCUUAUUCUAUCUUGGCCAGAAGAAAAAGUCUCUAUUAAUAUUUUUAAAGUAUACCUUUUCUCAACCAUGUAAAUCUAUUUUUACUCUAUGAAUUGAAGUCUACAUGUACAAUCUUUUUGUAAG